rfam:Triticum aestivum genome assembly, contig: Triticum_aestivum_CS42_TGACv1_scaffold_503610_6BL
AUAAUACUCCCUCCGUCCCAAAAUCCUUGUCUUAGAUUUGUCUAGAUACGGAUGGACCUAAUACUAAAACGUGACUUCAUACAUCCGUAUUUGGACAAAUUUAAGACAAGAAUUUUGGGACGGAGGGAGUACUUC